ACCUCCUAACUGAUGCUUUUUCAGAUAUUUUACACUUAUUUUGAGUUUUUCCAGAAAAUAUUAUUCAUCUCCCUGCUUGGCCAAAGUAAUAUGUAAGGUAUCUGCUUUCAUUUGAAAGAGGAAGUAGGAAGUGUAGUUUAAGGGCAUUCACUUAAGCUAUCAGUAAUGGUAUAAAAAUAGAAAUAGGUUUUUUUUCUUUACAAGUUUAUUCACUAGUUCUUCAUUGUAGGUAAUAAUAAAAAAAAAAAAAACAACACCUUUGGGUAGAGUGAAAUAUACUGACAUUUCACUUCUGCUCGUAUUCACUUCAGGUACCCCAAUCCAGACAAAAUAGACAUCCUGUCAUGCUGUUGUAUUGAAAAGUACUGUACAGGCAGUAAAUUACACUUCAGUAGCUCUAACAGUUUUUUUCCGGACUAAGUUAACCACUUCUGUCCUAAAAAUUACAUAACUGGAAAUUGCAAUAAAAGAAUAUUUACUCUUAGCUGAAACUCUAGUAUUAUGUCACAAUGGAACAUACUCUAGUGGCCAAUGAUUAACUAGAUCAGACAGUUCACCUCUAAUUUAAUCUCUCUGACAGAGCAAGCUCAAAUUUUCCCUUGCCUGCCUUUAUCUAGACAUCUGAAACAAGUUCCAUGCCAGGUUAGAGUCCACUCUGGCCACGCAGGCUCCCCGUGAGCCUCCCUGGUGAGAGGUUAGUGGUGCCCAUUACCCUGUCUGCAAAACCACAGCCUGGGCUUAAUCAUCUCAGGAUAACCACAGCUGCUUUUGUGUGAGAGUGACCAAAACCACCAAAGAGCUCAGGAGAGCAAAUAUGGAAUGUGGCACAGGGAAGACCUGUAUGGACAGCACAUGAGACAAACCCUCUGUUACUGCAAAGAGGAAAUGUACAGGUGAUUGAGUACAACCAAACCGCAAAGAACUAAGAGAGUUCAUCUAUGGAUGGCAUCUCGAAGAUCUUUUCCACAGAAGGAAGUCUAAUUUGUUCAGUUUACAAAUAAUACAGAACUUGUGACAUUUCCUUUGAUCCUGACAUAUAUCUAUUCUAAGCACAGAAGACUUCAAAUAUUAGAAAGGAGUGAACAACCUGCUUUAGGGAACACACCUGUCUUACAGGAUGCAAACCAAGCUGAACCAAGUUCACUUUCUGUAGAACUGAAGCCCCACCUGGAGCAUUAAAAAGAGAAUGUUGUCAGAUUUUAGAACCAAUUCAGAACACAUUUUUUAGCUACAGAAAAACAGGUUUGAUUUUUUUUCAAUUAUUUAGACUAAACAGACAUCAUAGUGUUAAUCCUCAAAAUCUCAGUUACAAUUUCAUCUGUUUUGCAAUAUUACAGUACUAUCCAGACUAGCUGAUUAGUAAACUUCUGCACUGCAAACAGUA